rnacentral:lncRNA from 1 species
UCUAUUCAGACAUGCAUGUGAUGGUAGAAACAGGAGCUGCCAUCUUGGAUUCAAGAGGGAAGCCACAUGUUGAAGAUAGCUGAGCCAUCCUACCACCCUGGAAUAUUCCUUGAGAGAGAAAUAAACUAUUGUCUCAUUUAAGCCCCUGUAUAUUGGGGGUAUUCUUUGUUUCAGCAGCUUAGAUUGUGUCCUAACAAAUAUACCCACAUACCCAGAUAUGGGUAAGGACUUGGGCCACCCACAUGUUUUAACUAUCUUCUGGAAUCAAAUAUUGGAGAUACAAAUGACUAGUUUUAGAGCAGUCUAGAGUCCAAGGUUGCAAUGUAUUCUCUUGUUUCCUUUAUUUAAGUCUGUGCUUGAGAAAUGUCUAUGGCUUAAAAUGGGACUGGUUAGUGUAAAGUUGGUGAUAGCAGUAUUUUCCAAAGUGCUUUUCAGAAAACAUAUAUUAAUGGGAAUUCUUCCAAAAAAGGUGUGGGAGAUGAUUUGAAGACAGUAUGUUUGAAAAAUAACGGGUCAUAUAACUUUAACUAGUUUCUUCAGAGCCUCUAGUGGGAAAUGAAUACCCUAAUCUUCCAGUGGGAGGAUACAGCAUGCAAUGUGGUCCAAUAUAAUUUGGCCAUGAAUCUCUUUCUUUGGAACACUUAGUAAUGUUUUGUGGAAUCCUAGUGUUCUUCUAAACAUAAGUUGGAAUGACAGCAUUAUAGGGUUACAAUUAUAUUGUAUUUUACUAGUCUAGAAAACAUUCUGUCUCUAUUAAGGAUGACUAUAUCUCAUCUAUUUUGAUUGAUUCAAACUUUAACUCAUAGAAGACACCAUGUUUAUUUUAAAGGUCUAGAGGAAUAUGGCAUAUUUGGUCCCAUGGGAUAUAUACAUGGUACAAGUAAAAAGGACUGAUAUUUUCUUUAUGAAAAUAAAAUGAUAUAAAUUUGAAUAUAUGAAAUAACAUUCUAAUAGGGAACCAUUUUUAUCUGCUUUGAAUUAUUUGGACUAUGGGUAGGAUUUUACUGGAAAAAAUAGUGAUACAGCCACAAAAAUAAGUCAAAAAAUAAGUCAAAAAGUUGGUGUUUGUCGAGGAGUGGUGGUGGUUGUGAGAUGGAAAACAUCAGUUGGGGCUGUUUUGUGGAGGGCUGUGAAUGUCCACUCCAUUUGGUAGGCACUUGGGAACCACUAAGGGUUUUUGAGCAGCAGUUAGGGCAGGAGUAGGAUUAGUGUUGUUCUUUCAGAAUGAGAUUCUGACAGCAGGACAGAAAAGGGUUUAGGGUAGGUGAAUGCUGGAGGGAAGCAGGAUUAUUAGGCAGGAGGUCACUAACACCCAGGGAGAGGAACGAAGGGAAGAUGAUUCAGGGGUAAUUUCCAGACUUUCUGUUUUACAUUCCUGCUGUUGGCAUUAUAGUUUGCAUACAGCUGAAAUGUGGCUUUUGGAAGCAUAAACCAAUAACAGAAAAUGAAAAAUUAGAAGCACAUGAACUAUACUUGAAAACACGAAAGCCAAACCUGUCUCGUGGCUGCUUUUGACACCCUGAAAUGCUUUUCAGGGUGUUGGCAUAUAUCACGUGACCUUUUCCCCCAUGACUCUCCUUUCUUCAGCUUACUUGUGGCAGAAGGGUUGAGUUAUGCAAUUAUGUUCUGUAAUAUGAUAUUUAUCCAGCAAAAGGUAUUUACUCUUUAGUUGAAUUGUCUAUGCUCUUAAUGCGGUGGUCACACUUCUGUCAGGAGAUUUUUACAGCAUCUGGGCCACCCACAUCUAGCGUUCAGGGGCUGAUGGGAAGCUGCGGAUCUUAGAAGGAAUCUACCUGAAGUCUGAGGAGCUUUUACAACCUAAUGCUCAACCAUUGGAAUUCCCAGUUUAAAUUUGGUACUUCUGUACCCUUUUAUUUCCAAGCGUAUAGGCUUUGGUGGCCCCAGAAUAGUUUGGCUUGCAUUGUCUGGAAUCUCAUGAGACCCCCAAAGUACAUUUUGUUAAUUUAAAAUAACCUCUUCCCUUUUAUUUAAGCACACCCUAAUUUUUUUAUUGUCUUUAAAAUUUUAUGUGUCCAAAGGGUAACAAAAUGUAAGCAUGGCUAUCUACAGGGAGACAAUGAGGCUCAUUAAUUCUCAUCUGCAUAAAAGCCAUUUCCACCAGCACAGCCGAUUUUUCUGUUACAAUGACAUGCAAUAUAUUCAGAAAAGGAUGUUUCCUAAUAGUCAUGUCACUAGGGUAUGGUCUACAUUCAGAUUGCUUUUAAUACUUACUCUUAAGUUCUGCCAAAAAACUUUUGUCAUAGGAACGAAUCAUUGGAAAAAGCUGAAGUUUGUUUAUUAGCUGUAAUUCAUGACCUUGGCAUGAGUUAACUUGCAAAUAAUUACUCUGUGAAAAGUAGAGCCAGUUAAGUGUGUAUUGCUUGUAUUAGUGUAGACACCUCAUGAAUGUCACCUUUGUUACAAUUCUUAACCAAAUAUCUCCCCUAUCUGUAGCAAGCUGGAGGUAGUGAUCUCGGUGGAGUUUCUGCUUGAUUCUGUAACCAGCAUUGUAGCUUUGACAAUGAACAUCCUCUGGGGAAUUUUUUUUUGUCCAUGAUGUUAUGUAGUUGGGAGUUUGGAAUCUCAUGGCUAAUUUUAGGUCCUUUUCCAUAUGCUGCUUCCCCAGGUUCAGUCACGGAUAUGCAAUAUCAUUCAUUUGCCUUAUCACAGGUGAAAUAAGCAACCACAGCACAAUGCAAAAGAAAAAAAGUGAUAAUGUAAAAGACAUUUUGUACAAAGUGUCAAGAAGGAAAAGGUUUUAUGAAACACGUAGUUUUAUUCUGAGGUUCAUCCAAUGGUUAUUUUAUCCAAUCCAAGUUUUUAGGACUUACGAGUUGUGCAGUUCCAGGGUGACACUAUUCAUUUAGAAUAUAAAGAGGCUGGUGCCCUUUGAAUUUGUGCAGUGUGAUGACACUGAUCUUGUUUACCUGCACUGGAAACUCUCCGGUAACAGAACGUCUCCUCAUACCCAGUGGAAUUAAGUUCAAGCCCUUAAGUAGAGGCAGAUAUGGUGCUCCAGUUUGCCCCCGCUCAUACCUCCAGGCACCUCUCUUCCUACUCCCCUCCGCACUCUGUUUCAGUUCAUGGAAUGGGAUCUGGGCAUCUUGGAUGUCCCCAUGUCUUUACAUAUGCUACUCUUUUCUUUUUUUUUUUAAUACUUUUUUUUUUUUUUGAAACAAGGUCUCACUUUGUCGCCCAGGCUGGCUUGUCCCUGGGCUCAAGGGAUCCUCUUUUUUAAGCCUCCUGAGUAGCUGGAAUUACAGGUGUGCACCACUGCACCCAGCUAGUUACUCUCUUCUUUAGUAUUCCUUUUCCCACUUUAUGUUCACUCAAAGAACCCUACACAUUCAUCCAAUAUUCAGCAGUUAUUUACUGAGUACCUACUAUGCACAAUGCAUUGAACUAAGCACACAGUGCCCAUUUGUAGUUUUGGAUUGGAUAAAUUAAUCAUUGGAUGAACUUCAGAAUAAAAUUUUCUCUUUCAUAAAACCUUUUUCUUCUUGACACUUCGUGCAAAACUUCUUUUACAUUAUCACUUUUUUCUUUCGCAUUGUGUUGUUGUUGAUUACUUUAUCCGUGUGUUUCCUCCUUUUGGAUUAUAAAUGCAAGUCCAAAACCUUUUUAUUUGCUUCCCAACAAACAGCUCAGUAAAUUGGAAACAGCAAAAGUGCAAGUAGAAUAGACUUUGAAGCAUCUCCUCCUACUAGUGGGCAAGUUAAUUAAUUUUUCUAAAUCCCAGAUUCCCCAUUUGUGUGUUGGAGGUAAGAAUAUCCAACAAAAUCAGCCCAACAAAGUUUAUUCUUUGCUCUUACUGUGUCUGUAGACUUUAAAUGAGAACAUAUUUGUAUAUUUGCAGUACAGUGUCUUACACACUAAGUAUGAACCUACUAAGGUGUUCAUCCAUUAGUAGCCUUCUUUAUAUCCCCUGCCUAGGACUUUGAACAUAGUAGGAACUCAUGAAUAUCUAUUAAAUAAAUGCACUCAAGAUCUCUGUCAUUAAAUAUAUUUAGAUAGAAAUAAGGGAAUUGGGCCAGGUGUGAUGGCUCAUGCCUGUAAUCCCAGCACUUUGGGAGGCCAAGGUGGGUGGAUCACCUGAGAUCAGGAGUUCGAGACCAGCCUGGCCACCAUGGAGAAACCCUGUCUCUAUUAAAAAUACAAAAAUUAGCCAGGCAUGGUGGCGGGUGCCUGUAAUCCCAGCUACUCAGAAGACUGAAGCAGGAGAAUCACUUGAACCUGGGAGGUGGAGGUUACAGUGAGCCAAGAUCAUGCCACUGCACUCCAGCCUGGGCAACAGAGUGGGACUCUGCCUCAAGAAGAAGGAAAAAAAAAAGAAAUAAGGGAAUUGGCAUGAAUUUUGUACAUUAUUUUUUGGCAGUGGUAUCUCUGCACAGUGGGUCCUGGGAAAGAGUAAACUUGCCCUCCAGCUGUCUUAAACAGAAGCUGACUUGCACUGCCUUAACCAUCUUUCUGUCUUUUGACAAGAUAGAGUAAUUCUUCGAAAAUCAAGCCAUAUACAUUUUUUUCCUUCGAAAGUGUCUAAGCAACAAAAUAAAUAAAUGUAUUAUUCAUUCUGGGUUGUGUUAAUUUUUCCUGCCAGAGGGGAAAAAUGAAUUUACAGGGAAUUCCUGGAAGAAUAUCUUGGGACCUAAAAAUAAAAAUCAUGGUUUUAUUUUAAGCUUGUCAACAGGGGUGACAAGUGUAAGAAUUGUAGCCCAGAUGUGCGGGAAGCAACUCAUAAAUUCUAUUUUCCACUAUGUUUUAUCUUGCCUGCCACUUUCCCUAAAAUGGAAAUCAUUUUUAGUAUCAUAGAGCGAGAUGGGAAACGUGGAAGUUUAUUUGUAAAAGUGGCACUAUGGUGAGCAAGCAUUCACAGGGACACUGGCCUAUUUUAGCAGCUGGCCUCUGGGAGAGAGGGAUGCCCUACAGCUUGGCACUGGAGCUCUUUGGGAUGCUGCUGAGCUUGUCAUUGCUGUUCCUCUUUGGGGUCUCCAGGCUGCUUUUAAAUUCUCUAGGAGGUGACCAUGGGACCUUAUUAGAUGAGCUUUAAUUUCUCUUUCUAAGUUGGCUUGUGCAAAUACAGAUAUCUAGUUUUUUUUCAGUCAGAGGGGAGAGGAAGGAUAGAGUUGAGGAGUGGACAGUAAGCAUCCCCAUUCAGAGGCAGAUGCAGCCUGGUUUGGGGAGACGGUAGAGGACUAGAACAUAUUAGUGUGUAUGGAGCUGGCCUGGGCGCUGAGAUCCAGAGUGAGGAAUGUGCCAGAGAUUCCAUCUGUUUGAGCUGGCAUGAAUCAUAGUGUGAAUCAGUAGAUCUCUUUUCUUAGCAAAAACCAGCAAAAGCCCUUCUUGUGAGGGUCAUAUGAAGCGGAAGGAGAUGAGAUUCUAUAUUGAUUUAGUACUAGUUCAUGAGCUACCAAAUCUAAAAACUAGGAGUCAGGUCAGAUAAAAUAGCAUAUUUCUAGCUUAAAGUUUUAUGAUCAUGAAUCUUAUAGAAACAUAGUUAACUUAGAAAUUAAAGAUUUAAGAUUAAGUUAGAAAUAGAAGUUGCUAGAAGUUCUCAAAUGUAUACUUCUGACAACUUGGUUAAAUCCCUGGCAUAUGCAGAAAAGUUUCUGUGAUUAAAAAAUAACAGAAGUAUGAGAGUUUUUCCUUGUCCAGCCAAUUUUGUAGUCUAUUUGAGAAGGUUAAAAACAACUGUAAAAGCUAAGUAACAAGGAAACAAAAAAAUGAUGAGUAUAUAACCAGAAGGAGCCCAGGUACUAUAAAAGCUAAGUAACGAGGAAACAAAAAAAUGAUGAGUAUAUAACCAGAAGGAACACUCAGUUUGAUUCCCAUAUCAGGAAGUUCUUGGGUUCAGUGCAAGACUUGAAACCUGACAUGGUUUCAUUAGAUUGUAGAAAACGCUUUUUUUUUUUUUUUCUGGACAACAGAUGGAACCAUGUUGUCGGUUGUUCAAAGAUGGACAGGAGACAGAAAUCUAUCAACCUGAAGUCAGCUCCAACUGCAGCUGUCUGUUCUCCUGAGGACUGUGCUAGUGGUCCACAGAGGUCACCUUGCUUAUCACAUGAUAUUUUCUUGAUGUUAGUUGAAGCACAUCACCUUAGGUGACACAUGAGGGCCAAAGGCCUCUUUCUCAGGGAUGUAUGUGAAAGUGUGGUGGGUUGGGGACCAGCUAAGGAAAAAAAGACAUGAAGGAGAAUGCAAGCAUCUUACAGUCAUCAUUCAGUAAGAAAUCUUUAUGACUGGACAAAGGAAAACAUAAACGCCCUUUAACCUAGAAUGCAAAUUUCUAGUGAUUUUUACUUUUUUAGUGUAUCAGAAGUCACUGAGCAAGGUAAGUACCAGCACUUACAGAGACGGAGUCAUAAAGGCUGCUCUCUAAAAGUAGAGGAUGUGCAAAACCUGUAGUACCAUUUAACAGAUUUUUGACCUUGUUAAUUAUGUCAUUUUGAAACUGGAAUAAAUAUGUAAUUCGAAGGUUGAUUUUUCUGAACAAAAGUAAGUCAAGUCAAAGUUUUCUCAGAGUCUACUGUUUGAUUCUUGAGGGUAUUCAGAAUUCAAGAUUGAUGUGCAUUUCAACAUUUCAGUUUCUGCCUAAGUGAAGCGUCACUUAAAGCCUUCGAAAUUACAGAUGUAAAAUGAGGUUGCACGUGAUGUCAGUAGCUAUAAUUCCUACUCUGGAGGUAGCUCGAUGUGUCUGAAGGCUGAGUGAGCUGCGGCAGGAUGAAUGAAUCUUUGACUUCAGGAGAUGCUGUUCUAGUCUGUAACCUUGUCGUGUGGAAUCAGCCCAUCUGAUGCUGAACACUAACUUGAAAUGGCUGGCCGAAUGCAGAGUAACACAUCAGAGCACUAGACCGGUGGAAAGAACCUAGAUUGCAAGUCCAGUGAAUUAUCUGCAUCUUCAUUUUGUUAGGUGUAGAUUUACUUUUGUUAUUGGUUGCAAUUGCAAUAUUUUAAAAUCAUGAUUAUGCGUUAACUCCAUCUAUUUCUAAAACAUUGGUAUUUGUGUCAUUUUUAGUGUAGCUUGAUUUUUGUUUUCUUCUUUCUGGUACAAAAACGAGUUUCUCCCUCCAACCCCUGCCAUGUAUAUCUGUAUCAUGUAUAUCUGUAUCUACAUUCCUGUCUACUAUCAAUGCCUACUAUUUACAAGGUAGUUCAGUUCGUUUCAGAUCAACUAGAAUUUAUUGAGUACCCUGUAUGCUAAUCCCUGUACCAGGGGCUUGGGAUAUAACAGUGAAUAAGUUCCUGGGGCUUACAUCAGUCAAUAUAGGGUUACUGUCUAUUGAACAAGAUUAUUUUUGGGUUUCUAUCUAUUUGGGGAUAUGAUAAUGCAUGUAUUUAUUCCUAACCAUCACACAAUAAUAUUAUGAAACAAUGUUAGUAGGAGGAAGGUGAGAGCCUUCAUUUUAACUGGGAGGACUUGGUUCUGUCUAAGAUGUUGCUUUUGUUAUGGGUUAGUGCCUAUUAGAUAACAUUCUGUUUCUGUGACUGAUUAUUUCUUUUUGACCUUCUGAGUUUUAGUUUGUCCACUGAGUUUUAGGUAAAAA